UAACGCGAAGAACCUUACCAGGUCUUGACAUCUUUUGCUAACCUAAGAGAUUAGGCGUUCCCUUCGGGGACGGAAUGACAGGUGGUGCAUGGUUGUCGUCAGCUCGUGUCGUGAGAUGUUGGGUUAAGUCCCGCAACGAGCGCAACCCUUAUUGUCAGUUGCCAGCAUUAAGUUGGGCACUCUGGCAAGGCUGCCGGUGACAAACCGGAGGAAGGUGGGGAUGACGUCAAAUCAUCAUGUCCCUUAUGACCUGGGCUACACACGUGCUACAAUGGACGAUACAACGAGUCGCUAGACCGCGAGGUUAAGCUAAUCUCUGAAAGUCGUUCUCAGUUCGGAUUGCAGGCUGCAACUCGCCUGCAUGAAGUCGGAAUCGCUAGUAAUCGCGGAUCAGC
rnacentral:rRNA from 1 species